UUUGCAAAUUCCUGGUAUACCAUGCUCAUAUCCUAAUUUGAGAAGCAUUGGGGUAUAAGAUAGAUUGACUUCGUUUGAAUAAGAUGGUUUGGGUCUAAACACAGAGUGGGUCUGCUUGACUGGGGCCUCCAAUGAAGACCCGGCAGCUGUGGGAAAUCCAGCAGAAAGAAGUUUUGUCAGUGAGCAGAGUAAAAGAAGCAACACAGGACAAAAUAGUUGUUGAAAAGGGAAAGUGAGGGGUGUCAGUGUUAGAUUUUACUUAUUCCCUUUACUUAUUUUAUGAUAUAUCCAGGGGCACCUGUGUUCUGUGUUCUCCUACCAAAAGCUAAAUUCCAUAAGCAUGAACCUGUCUGAUCUGUUCUCAGUGCCCAGAGCACACUGCUGGGCACAUAGUAGAUGCUCAGUAGCUGUUUAUGAAUGAAUAAAUAAAUGACUAAAUGAUUGAAUGAGCAGAGAAAGUAGCAAGGCCUACAGCCAUCACUGAUCUGAGAUUCUCCCACAAGAAGAUCAGGAAAACUGUACCAUGAAUAAAGAAUGAGGCUACCCAGAAAUGAUUCUGGAAUAUUUCUAUUGACAUUUGGGAAGGGGGCAUGAGAAGAAGGAGGCAGCAAGGAGGCAAAAGGAGAAAAUACAUUAAAUUAAGAAUGCAUAGGCAAAAAAAUUAGAAAAAAGAAACAAUAGGUAAAGUUUAAAAAUAAGUAUAAAAUUGAACAGAGAUUGAGCAUAUUUAAUCAGAAUAUAAAAGUCUUUCAUAAUUACUAAGAUGACAAAGAAACCCCUUGAAAGGAAGUUUAUGAAGCACUGCUCCAAUCAGAUUCAGAGCCUUUUGGGAUCAUUUGAGUGAUAACUGCGUGGGUGUUACUCCUGUAGAUUAUCAUUUUCUUUCUGAAUUCAUUUCCUUCAGCAGAAAUGAGAGCCUGCGUCACUCAUGGGGCAUUCUUGUGCGAUGUGUGGGUUUCCCUACCCAAGAACUCAUAGAAUCACAGAGCUCAGAGUCAACUCAACAGGUCACAGGAGGCUCACCCUGGCCCCAGUGGGAAAGCCUUGGCCAUCAUUCAGAGCAAGAGGCCCAGAGAUGCCCAGCUGUGAAUUUGGUCUGCCCUUUGCAAAGUAAGAGGAAAUUUAAUGAACCUAAAUAAGACAUGAUCCUCUGUGGCUAUAAAAGUUACACUUUGAAAAAGCUCAGCUGGUCAAGAGCCACUUGAAAAUGAUGUUACCGCGGGGGAACUCUGUCAAAAG
rnacentral:lncRNA from 10 species